AGAACUGAGCCGUUUUCUUCCGUUCCUGUUCGUGGAACAGCCCCGGAUUCGGGCCAGUUCCACCUCUCUGUGGUGCAGGGCUGGUUACCUGCAUCACGGGAUAUUGCUUCUGCUGCACCUUUAUAAAGGAUUUCCUCCUGUUAAUUAAACCCAUCCGCUGUGUUUGGGUGCAGCCGGGGUUUCUUCUGCCUUCCAGCCAGAGGUGUGAAGAUCCCAGUAACCUAAUCUGUGAUGGGCAAAAGGACACACACACGCAGAGUGAAAAGACAGCAGCGUGCCCUCCCCAUCCUCUCCCUUGGUGGAAAGAGUCCUGCUUGGAUGCGCUCAUGACAGUGAUUCUAUUUUGUUUCAUCUCAUGCACAGCCAGGUGCAUGGGCCCGCCUGCAGGAUCAGGUAGGGAGCAUCGUCUUCAUGUGAUGUGUGUGUUUGUGUAUCUAAAUAAGCAUGCUGGAAGCUCGAGGGAGGAGAGGUAAAGUUUAAACAGCCCCACCUCCUUUUGCAAUAGACAAGGAAAAGUUCUUCUUUAAAAAGAUCACUGGCAUCUUCCUUGGCUGGCUUUUAAACAUGCACUGUAGCAGGUUGACUCAGCAUGUUUGAAUGGUAGAAACUGUAAUUAACCUUGUAGGCUUCCUGGCUGAAAGCAAACGCUUUAGUCUGACUGCUCUUGGCUGAUUUAACACAAACUCCAGCACCCUCUGGCCAGUGACGAGCGUUCGCAGUAGAU
rnacentral:lncRNA from 1 species